GUCCUUAACCAUAAGGCUUAAAAAAACUUAAGCCUAAAACAUAACCACUAACCAUCCGUAUAUAACGGAAUUA
rnacentral:rRNA from 1 species